rnacentral:rRNA from 1 species
GAUGAACGCUAGCUACAGGCUUAACACAUGCAAGUCGAGGGGUAACGAGAGGAAAGCUUGCUUUCCUUGUCGACGACCGGCGCACGGGUGAGUAACGCGUAUCCAACCUGCCCCCAACUAAGGAAUAACCUUGCGAAAGUAAGACUAAUACCUUAUAAUUUCCUCAGAUGUCAUCUGACGAGGAAUAAAGAUUUAUCGGUUGUGGAUGGGGAUGCGUCUGAUUAGCUUGUUGGCGGGGUAACGGCCCACCAAGGCAACGAUCAGUAGGGGUUCUGAGAGGAAGGUCCCCCACAUUGGGACUGAGACACGGUCCAAACUCCUACGGGAGGCAGCAGUGAGGAAUAUUGGUCAAUGGGCGAAAGCCUGAACCAGCCAAGUAGCGUGCAAGAUGACGGCCCUAUGGGUUGUAAACUGCUUUUAUACAGGAAUAAAGUUAGCCACGUGUGGUUAUUUGUAGGUACUGUAUGAAUAAGGACCGGCUAAUUCCGUGCCAGCCGCCGCGGUAA